UCAGCAGCAGCAAAAGCUCCUACCCCUCCACAAUAGAGACGGAUAUGGCUGAGGUUGCCCGUCGCCUCAGCCAGCGGUGCGAGCUGCAUCCCAGGACCCAGAUGGAAUUUUGCAGCUUCUGCGUGGCCACACUAGUGUGGCUACACCGUCUGGGUCAUGUAAGCGUUAGGGAGCUUAAGGUGCGGGAGUGGCUGGGCAGGCGGCCAGAGGGGGACGCUGUCAUUCUGACGCUUCCCAGCAAAGCCGUGAGCCUGAGCCGAAAAGAGGAAGAGUGGCUGGAGUGCUAUUUCAGACACGUCCGGCCACUCUGCCUUAAGGCUCAGGCUUCGGGAACGGAUGACAGAGGAUGCUUCUUCCUGGGAGCGUCAGGACUCCCCCUUACUAACCCCACCGCAGACAUCCAGCGCCUGAAAGCAAAGUACAUCAAGAGGCAGCCCGUACCGCCCCCUACCACCGCCGCUCGACCUUCUCCAGCUGCACUGGCUCAGCCGCCUGCUCCAGCUGGCGAGGAGAGGCCGUCCACCUCUGACCUGCAACCCCCUCCGUUACCUCCGCCUCGUUAUUGGGGGGCUUUUCAGGACAAGUUUCCAAUCAACUUGAAUGGGAAGCCCCCUAGUAUGGCGGAGGCAGCC
ensembl:processed_transcript